rnacentral:rRNA from 1 species
GGAUGCAAUCAUACCAGUACUAAUGCAUCAGAUCCCAUCAAAACUCUAAAGUUAAGCAUAUUUGGGCAAGAGUAGUACUAAGAUUGGUGACCUCUUAAAAAGUCCUUGUGUUGCACCCA